GAUGAACGCUGGCGGCGCGCCUAACACAUGCAAGUCGAACGAGCGAGAGAGAGCUUGCUUUCUCGAGCGAGUGGCGAACGGGUGAGUAACGCGUGAGGAACCUGCCUCAAAGAGGGGGACAACAGUUGGAAACGACUGCUAAUACCGCAUAAGCCCACGGCUCGGCAUCGAGCAGAGGGAAAAGGAGCAAUCCGCUUUGAGAUGGCCUCGCGUCCGAUUAGCUAGUUGGUGAGGUAAUGGCCCACCAAGGCGACGAUCGGUAGCCGGACUGAGAGGUUGAACGGCCACAUUGGGACUGAGACACGGCCCAGACUCCUACGGGAGGCAGCAGUGGGGAAUAUUGCACAAUGGGGGAAACCCUGAUGCAGCGACGCCGCGUGGAGGAAGAAGGUCUUCGGAUUGUAAACUCCUGUUGUUGGGGAAGAUAAUGACGGUACCCAACAAGGAAGUGACGGCUAACUACGUGCCAGCCGCCGCGGUAACAC
rnacentral:rRNA from 1 species